UACGAACUGUGCAAACGUUAUUCGGAUUCACUGGGCUUAAAGGGUGCGUAGGCGGCCAUGUAAGUAGGGUGUGAAAUCCCCCGGCUUAACCGGGGAACUGCGCCCUAAACUGUAUGGCUGGAGUGAGAUAGGGGUGUGUGGAACUUCCGGUGGAGCGGUGAAAUGUGUUGAUAUUGGGAGGAACGCCAGUGGCGAAGGCGGCUCACUGGACCGGUUCUGACGCUGAUGCGCGAAAGCGUGGGGAGCAAACGGG
rnacentral:rRNA from 1 species